CGGACGGGUGAGUAACGCGUGAGAAUUUACCUUCAGGUUGGGGACAACCACUGGAAACGGUGGCUAAUACCGAAUGUGCCGAGAGGUGAAAGGCUUGCUGCCUGAAGAAGAGCUUGCGUCUGAUUAGCUAGUUGGUGGGGUAAGAGCCUACCAAGGCGACGAUCAGUAGCUGGUCUGAGAGGAUGAUCAGCCACACUGGGACUGAGACACAGCCCAGACUCCUACGGGAGGCAGCAGUGGGGAAUUUUCCGCAAUGGGCGAAAGCCUGACGGAGCAAUACCGCGUGAGGGAGGAAGGCUCUUGGGUUGUAAACCUCUUUUCUCAGGGAAGAAAAAAAUGACGGUACCUGAGGAAUAAGCAUCGGCUAACUCCGUGCCAGCAGCCGCGGUAAUACGGAGGAUGCAAGCGUUAUCCGGAAUGAUUGGGCGUAAAGGGUCCGCAGGUGGCAUUGUAUGUCUGCUGUUAAAGAGUCUGGCUCAACCAGAUCAAAGCAGUGGAAACUACAAAGCUAGAGUCUGGUCGGGGCAGAGGGAAUUCCUGGUGUAGCGGUGAAAUGCGUAGAUAUCAGGAAGAACACCGGUGGCGAAGGCGCUCUGCUAGGCCAAAACUGACACUGAGGGACGAAAGCUAGGGGAGCGAAUGGGAUAAGAUACCCCAGUAGUC
rnacentral:rRNA from 1 species